AACCUCCGCAAUGUGAGAAAUCGCGACGGGGGGACCCCAAGUGCCAUUCUUAACGGGAUGGCUUUUCUUAAGUGUAAAAAGCUUUUGGAAUAAGAGCUGGGCAAGACCGGUGCCAGCCGCCGCGGUAACACCGGCAGCUCUAGUGGUAGCCAUUUUUAUUGGGCCUAAAGCGUUCGUAGCCGGUUUAAUAAGUCUCUGGUGAAAUCCCGUAGCUUAACUAUGGGAAUUGCUGGAGAUACUAUUAGACUUGAGGUCGGGAGAGGUUAGAGGUACUCCCAGGGUAGGGGUGAAAUCCUGUAAUCCUGGGAGGACCACCUGUGGCGAAGGCGUCUAACUGGAACGAACCUGACGGUGAGGGACGAAAGCUAGGGGCGCGAACCGG
rnacentral:rRNA from 1 species